UGCAGAAAGCCCCACUGGUUUUGAUCUCUCGCAGGAAUACUCAGGGCUCCACAGCCAAUGGAUAUCGGCAACUCUCUUUUCACAAUUUUAGGCAGAGAUGCAUUAAAAGCCUUUAACAGGCCAAGAUUACAACCUAGCAAGCGGCCGAGGGCCCAAAAAUUGAACACUAGCUACAAGUCCAACCCAGCUUACUCAAUAUCAGCCCAUUACAUAGACCCAAACCCAUAUUUUUUCUUAAAACUCUAACCCAACCUGAUAGAGAACUCGAAAUGUAGGACCCGUCUUCUUCAAGUACCAGCACUGCUGCCUUGAAAUUGUACUCACCAGGGCAUGGAGUCUUUCUCCUUCCGGUGGCAACACAAACCACUUUAAGGUCAAAGGAACCACCUGCAACAAAAGCACACCAAGAACAACAAGGUAGCAAAGAGUACACCCACAAAUGGAAAAAGAAUCAGAGACUUAGGAGAAGGGAGAGCCCAGAAACGGCCUCUCAUUCUCUUAUGGCCAAAGGGCGGCCGACUCAUUCAUCCAGCACUUUCAAACAAGAAAACUAAAGGACUGUUUGGCAUUGAUGUUGCAUUUGAUUAUUGCUGUUUUAAAACUGCUGUUUAUAAAAUUGUUAUUUUAAAAAAGUAAUUUACCUGUUUAAUAAUAUAAUAGAAAAUUACUGUUAAACAAAUAAGCUGUUUGAUAUGUGUUUGAUUAAAAUUACUUUUUAAAAUGCUGGUACAUGCAAAAUGACCAAAAUAGAUAAUAACUAUAAGUAUACUUUUUCAAUUUUAU
rnacentral:misc_RNA from 1 species